AUGGAGAUGGACUUUGUCUCAGGCCCUUCGGGGCACGAGGCGUGGGCGCAGCGGCUUCUUCAUGACGACGGUGAACUCGUUCUUCUCGGCGAAGUCCACCUCCUCGCCGGGGACCUCCUGCCACUCGAACUCCCUUACCAUGUUGGCCACGAAGUACUCCAGGUGGAGCAUGGCGAUGCCCAGCCCGGCGCAGAUCCUCCGGCCCACGCCGAACGGCAUCAUCUUGAUCUCCCGAUUGCCGGUCACGUCCACCGCUUCGCCUGCGCCGCCUGGCAGGAACCGCUCCGGCAAGAACUCCGUUGGCUUCUCCCACUCCCGCUCGUCCCUGCUCAUCUCGGCCACCAUGAAGUUCACCGUCGCCCCCUUGGGAAUCAGGUACCCGCCGACCUCCAUGUCCUCCGCCGCCUUGUGCGGCAGCACGAAGUGCGCCGGUGGGUGCUUCCGGAGGCCCUCGAGCACCACCGCCUUGAGGUACGGCAUCUUGUGGACGUCCUCCUCCGAGACCUCGUCCUGGUCGUCCCCCUUCGUGGCGCUGAUCUCUUUGUAGAGCUUCUCCUGGAUGGCCGGGUUCUUCACCAGCUCGGCCAUGAUCCACUGCAACCCGGUGGAGGUGGUGUCGGUCCCGGCGUCGAGGAACUCGGAACAGAGGUUGAUCAUCUCGUUGUCGGUCAGCGGGCGGUUUCCCUCCUCGGGGAGCUUAAUGUCGAGCAGGGCGUCGACGUAGGAGUGCUCGAACGUGCUCUCUUUCUUGGGCUCGCCGCCGAGUUUCCUGUACUCCCGCCGAGCGUUGAUCAGCGGCACGAACAGGUCCUUCUUCCGCCGCUGCAUGGCGUGCACGGUCUGGAGGCGGUCGCGGUAGAGGUGCUUGGUCACCGACGGCAGGAAGGCGAAGACGGCCAUCUUCCUCGACCUGUAGAUGAGCACGAGGAGACAGAACAUGGCGUACUGGAAUGUCUCCACGACGGCCGCGCCGCCGGAGGACGACUCAUCACGCAGCUUCUCGGCCAGCACGCGGCGCACCCAGGAGCGCGCGGGGGCGAAGAGGCGGACCCGCGACGGGUGCAGCGUCUCGGAGACGAGGUUGCGGCGCAGGAGGCGCCACACGGGGCCGUAGCUGGCGCGCGUGAUGGUGUUGUCGUUCUCGCCCAGCAGCUUCAGCGAAGGGAGGGCGGGGCGGUCCGCGAGCGUGGCGCCGCGCUCGACGAGCGCCGCGUGCGCGAGGCGGCGGUCGGCGACGAAGAUGGAGAGGCGGGACCCCACGCGCAGGGACACGAUGGGGCCGUAGCGCUUGAACAGGCGCCGGAGCAGGGGCUCCACGUCGGCGAGCGAGUUGGUCAGCCACACCACGCUGCCCAGCACCGGCAGGGACGGCGGGCCGGGCGGGACGCGGAGGCGGCCGCCCUUGCGGCCGCGGAGGAGUAG
rnacentral:rRNA from 1 species